ACUACCCAGACAGCACAUGUACGUCUGGCCGACGUCGGCCCAAUAUCGAGACGUCGGCCUCUAUACCUAAAACAUCUAUAAAACAUCGGCCUGGCGGAGGCCGAUAUAAUUUGGUCAGUGCUCUGUUCUCCAGCUCAUCAAUCGUCGGCCCUGAGUUGGUUCACGACCGCGGGCCGAUGCCGCGCUUAUCUGUGUGCGCGUGCCCAGUAUUCAUCUCUUUUAGCCACCCAGAGAGAGAGAAGAGGAUAAUCCCAGCGACAUCUGUGGCUCUGAGGCUUCCAGAAAUAAUCUGGUGAAAUAAUAUGAUGUUUGUUUGUGUGAAUGCUGUGUGUGCGUUGAGUCCUGCGCGAGCGGGGAGCAGAGUUGCCAUGGAAACGGGGCGUCAACACAAAAACCGUUACUGGCAAACAGUAAUCUCCGUCUCUCGCUGCGGUUUACACUGUUUUAGGAGGACAGAAAGAAACUCUACAGAACAGAAGUGAAGCUCCAAGAUUUCAACAUUUCUGAAGGGAGAUUCUGACUUAGAAAUACAGGUGACCUGAAGAAGCUCAUGAAAAACAUGAAUAUGCCUUUUUCAGAAUACAUUUUAUCAAUUUUAAGAAGUCCCUGACAUCAUAACCUUGUUUCCUUCUAAUGAACCUGGAACUGUAGAGUAAAUAUUGUUGACUCUGUGUCAGAUUGCUUGUUUUGUUCCUGGAUUCUUCAGUGAUGAUGAUCAGAGUCUGAGUGAACCUGCUGUCAGACAGGUUGGCCUGAUUGACGAUGCCAUCGUCCAUCGGCGAUGGCUGAUAGACAUCACGAUGCUGCGCCGGAAACAGCGUCAUCAGCUCCAGUAUCUUGCCCAUGCAUCUGUUGUCAUGCGACAGAGAAGUCACGUUCUAUAGACAGUUUCUAUAGACAGUUGUGAACGUGCUGACAGCUGGUUGCCCAGGCUAUGGAUUAAAGGUAAUACUGUUGGCCAGCAGAGCCCUGCUCACCCUGACGGCCCACCGCUGCUGUCAGAAAACAUCUCCAAGAUGCUAUAAACUGCAGGACUAGAUGGCCAUCCCAAGGUUUCUAGAGAUUACAGCAGCUCCAGACUGAAUCCAAACUCACUUUUGAAGACUUCAGAUGAGACCAACGCUCACAAAGACUACAGACGACAACUGUACAUGAACACACAAAACAUUGGACACACAAAACAAAUAUUAUCCUUAUUUUGCCUAUAAGGGUAAAUUUGAUGAUUUUCAAACUGCUUUAUUGUAACCUCUUAUAUCUGUAAAUGAACAAUAUUUACUCUCUGAGUUAUGUGGACCUACAUGUCCCCUUUUAUUUGUAAGCAUCACUUUAAAAAUGUUGAAAGAUAAUGUUAAUGUUAACUGAAUACUAAACUAGAGACUUGUUUAGUAAGAUUUUAUCAGAAAAUAUUUGUGAACUUUUAUCAUGCAAUUUAAAACAUUUUAAUUGCUUAAUUAGUAUUGUUUGCCUGGUUUUAUUUUGUGUUUAUGUAACUCUUUUUAAAAAGUUCUUGGCAUAAAGUUUGCAUGCGAUGCUGACAGCACUGAACACAUGACUUUUUAUUAUGAACUAGAUGGUCUUCUCAGUGAGUCUCAGUCAUCUCUGGCUUUUUAAACUGUAACCUUGAAAUAUGCAUUUCCCGUAAACCUACUUUGAAAUAAGUAUUGUCAAAAGGUGCUAUACUCAUACAACAUUUAACCAUGCAAGUACUGUAGUAAUGGUUAUUUUUGUUUUUACUAUGGGUUUACUGCAAAAGCUGUAGUAAAAUCAUGGUGAUUGUAGUAAAACUAUGGUUGAUUUUGUUUUUUUCUAUGGUUUUACUGCAAAAGCUGUAGUAAAAUAAUGGUUAAUGUUCAAAAGACUACAAAUAAUCCCGAAUUAUCCACUUUUGAUCAAAGCAUCUGGUAAAUGUUAUUGUAUUUGUACAUGUAUUAUGAAAUAAAUGAAAAUAUUAAUAA